rnacentral:rRNA from 1 species
UGGGGAAUAUUGCGCAAUGGGCGAAAGCCUGACGCAGCGACGCCGCGUGAGGGAUGAAGGUUUUCGGAUCGUAAACCUCUGUCUGAAGGGAAGAAACCGCACUGUGCUAAUCAGCAGUGCCUUGACGGUACCUUCAAAGGAAGCACCGGCUAACUCCGUGCCAGCAGCCGCGGUAAUACGGAGGGUGCAAGCGUUAAUCGGAAUUACUGGGCGUAAAGCGCACGUAGGCUGCUUUGUAAGUCAGGGGUGAAAUCCCACGGCUCAACCGUGGAACUGCCUUUUAUACUGCUUAGCUUGAAUCCGGGAGAGGGUGGCGGAAUUCCAGGUGUAGGAGUGAAAUCCGUAGAUAUCUGGAGGAACAUCAGUGGCGAAGGCGGCCACCUGGACCGGUAUUGACGCUGAGGUGCGAAAGCGUGGGGAGCAAACAGG